GCGAAAGAUAUUUGCUGUGCACACGUUUCCGAGGAGAGAGAGCCAAUUGGAGGAAACAUCUGCUGCAAGGCCAGUCUGGCGGUAAUGAGUAGAAUGCCGUCAUACAGCUACCAGUAGCUUGCUGAUAUCAGAAUUAUGGCCUCUAAGAAUAGCUUGCCUUGUCCUUUUGGAGGAGUCUGAGGAUGAAGAAAUGGAGGAGGAGGAACUUUUUGCAUGUCUGGCAAUGUUUAAGAAAGAGAAAGGGGGAAAAGAAAAUGGUUGAUCCAUCCUUUCACCAACCAUCGUCUGGAUGAGGGAUCCUACCAUCGUUUGGUGAAGGAACUAGAAGAGGAUUGUGAUAAAUUCCAUGGAUAAUUCAGAAUGCCGAAAGAUAUGUUUGAUUACGUUUAGGCGAAAAUUGAAGAUGUCAUCAAAAGACAAGACACACACGGCUCCGCAAGUCCAUUUCACCUAGGGAGAGAUUGGCAGUUACAUUACGAUAUCUGGCCACAGGGGAAUCUUUCACGUGUCUUUCCUACAACUAUAGAAUCGGAGCAACAACUAUUGGUCUCAUCGUGAAGGACGUCUGUGCUGCUAUCUGGCAGACAAUGCAGCCAGAGUUUAUGAAGGUGCCAUCAACAUCUGAUGAUUGGAGAGAAGUAGCCAAUGGGUUUGAGGAAUCUUGGCAGUUCCGAAAUUGCUGUGGAGCUGUCGAUGGAAAACAUGUAGUGAUGAAAGCCCCAGCCAACUCGGGAUCAGUAUUUUACAAUUACAAAGGCACAUUCUCCAUCAUCCUCCUGGCUGCAGUUGAUGCUAAGUACAGGUUCAUCACAAUUGAUGUAGGUUCAUAUGGUAUGAACAAUGAUUCUGGUGUAUAUCGCUCAUCAAAAUUUGGACAGGCACUCAAAAAUGAAUCUCUCUCGUUGCCACAAGACAGAGCACUCCCAGGAGCUGAGGAACUUUGAGAACUCCCCUACGUAUUUAUUGCUGAUGAAGGUUUGCCCUUGCUGAAGAAUCUCAUGAGACCAUAUGGAGGUCGAGGAAGAACCGAAGAGGAGCCUAUUUUUAACUAUCGCCUCAGCCGAGCCAGGAGGAUAGUCGAGACCGCUUUUGGGAUUCUGGCUACAAGAUGGAGAGUGUUUCACACCAAAAUAAUGACGGAACCGAGCACAGCAAAGGAAAUUGUAAAGGCACCGUGUGUUCUUCACAAUUUCCUUCAAAGUGCUUCUGGAACAACCAAUGAAACACUCACCCCAGACCAUGCACGAGAUGAGUGUUCAAUGCUAGCAGGGCUGUCCAAUUACACCAGACGAAACAGCAAGGUUGCUGAACAAAUCAGAGACAUCUACAAGCAUUACUUUAACAAUCAAGGACAACUAUCCUGGCAGACCGAACUUGUAAGGAAAGGCUUGUUUCCAACGAAAGAUUAAUGAACUUACAUAAGU